rnacentral:rRNA from 1 species
UCGAAAGAUGUGCUAAUACCGCAUAUUCUUUGAGGAGGAAAGUAGGGGAUCGAAAGACCUUAUGCUUCUGGAGCGGCCGAUGUCUGAUUAGCUAGUUGGUAAGGUAAUGGCUUACCAAGGCGCCGAUCAGUAGUUGGUCUGAGAGGACGGCCAGCCACACUGGGACUGAGACACGGCCCAGACUCCUACGGGAGGCAACAGUGGGGAAGUUUGGACAAUGGGCGCAAGCCUGAUCCAGCAAUGCUGCGUGAGUGAAGAAGGCCUUCGGGUUGUAAAGCUCUUUCAGUCGAGAAGAAAAGGUUGUGACUAGUAAUCAUAACUCAUGACGGUAUCGACAGAAGAAGCACCGGCUAACUACGUGCCAGCAGCCGCGGUAAUACGUAGGGUGCGAGCGUUAAUCGGAAUUACUGGGCGUAAAGGGUGCGCAGGCGGUUCCGUAAGUCAGAUGUGAAAUCCCCGGGCUUAACCUGGGAACUGC